GUGCUUGCUUCGCCAGCACAUAUACUAAAGUUGGAAUGAUACAGAGAAGAUUAGCAUGGCCCCUGCACAAGGAUGACAUGCAAAUUCAUGAAGCAAUUCAUAUUUUU